GGAAUAUUGCGCAAUGGACGAAAGUCUGACGCAGCGACGCCUCGUGAGGGACGAAGGUCUUCGGAUUGUAAACCUCUUUCAGCAGGGACGAAGCGGAAGUGACGGUACCUGCAGAAGAAGCACCGGCUAACUAUGUGCCAGCAGCCGCGGUAAUACAUAGGGUGCAAGCGUUGUCCGGAUUUAUUGGGCGUAAAGAGUUCGUAGGCGGUUUUUCGCGUCGGAUGUGAAAACUCAGGGCUCAACCCUGAGCCUGCAUUCGAUACGGGAAGACUCGAGGACGGCAGGGGAGACUGGAACUUCUGGUGUAGCGGUGGAAUGCGCAGAUAUCAGAAAGAACACCAAUGGCGAAGGCAGGUCUCUGGGCCGAUCCUGACGCUGAGGAACGAAAGCGUGGGGAGCAAACAGGAUUAGAUACCCUGGUAGUCCACGCCGUAAACUAUGGACGCUAGGUGUGGGGGACAUUCCACGUUCUCUGCGCCGCAGCUAACGCAUUAAGCGUCCCGCCUGGGGAGUACGACCGCAAGGUUAAAACUCAAAUGAAUUGACGG
rnacentral:rRNA from 1 species